rnacentral:rRNA from 1 species
GACAGCAGUCGCCACGGUAAAACGUAGGGCGCGAGCGUUGUCCGGAAUUAUUGGGCGUAAAGAGCUUGUAGGCGGUCGGUCGCGUCUGCUGUGAAAGGCUGGGGCUUAACCCUGGUUUUGCAGUGGGUACGGGCUAACUAGAGUGCAGUAGGGGAGACUGGAAUUCCUGGUGUAGCGGUGGAAUGCGCAGAUAUCAGGAGGAACACCGAUGGCGAAGGCAGGUCUCUGGGCUGUAACUGACGCUGAGAAGCGAAAGCAUGGGGAGCGAACAGGAUUAGAUACCCCAGUAGUCCCUGUCUCUUAUAA